rnacentral:rRNA from 1 species
CCCUUAGAUGUCCUGGGCCGCACGCGCGUUACACUGAUGCACUCAACGAGCAUAUAACCUUGGCCGAGAGGCCUGGGUAGUCUUGUUAACAUGCAUCGUGAUAGGGAUAGAUUAUUGCAAUUAUUAAUCUUGAACGAGGAAUUCCUAGUAAUCGCGGAUCAUCAAUCCGCAAUGAUUACGUCCCUGCCCUUUGUACACACCGCCCGUCGCACCUACCGAUUGAAUGGUCCGGUGAAGCCUCCGGAUUGGCGCGCACCUCGGUGCCGCCGAGAAGUUGGCUAAACCUUACCAUUUAGAGGAAGGUGAAGUCGUAACA